AGCUCCAAUAGCGUAUCUUAAAGUUUUUGCAGUUAAAAAGCUCGUAGUUGGAUUUCUGUCAAGAGCAAGCGGUCCGCUCUUUCAGAGUGUGUACUUGCGUCGUUUUUGACUUUCUUCUGAACCUUGCUGUUUCCCCUUCAUUGGGUGAGGCAGUUAGGCAGAACUUUUACUUUGAGAAAAUUAGAGUGUUUCAAGCAGGCUAGCGCCUCGAAUACUGCAGCAUGGAAUAAUAAGAUAGGAUUUCAGUUCUAUCUUAUUGGUUCUAAGGACUGAAAUAAUGAUUAAUAGGGACUGUUGGGGGCAUUCGUAUUUAACUGUCAGAGGUGAAAGUCUUAGAUUUGUUAAAGAAGAACUACUGCGAAAGCAUUUGCCAAGGAUGGUG
rnacentral:rRNA from 1 species